rnacentral:rRNA from 1 species
UGAUCCACUUGGGAGUACGCCGGCAACGUUGAACUCAAAGGAUUGACGGGGUCCGCACAAGCGGUGGAGUAUGUGGUUUAAUUCGAUGCAACGCGAAGAACCUUACCAGGGUUUGACAUCCUGCGAAUUCCUUGGAAACGAGGAAGUGCCUUCGGGAGCGCAGUGACAGGUGGUGCAUGGCUGUCGUCAGCUCGUGUCGUGAGAUGUUGGGUUAAGUCCCGCAACGAGCGCAACCCACGUCUUUAGUUGCCAGCAUUCAGUUGGGCACUCUAGAGAGACCGCCGGUGAUAAACCGGAGGAAGGUGUGGAUGACGUCAAGUCAUCAUGCCCCUUACAUCCUGGGCUACACACGUACUACAAUGCUACGGACAAAGGGCAGCAAACUCGCGAGAGCUAGCAAAUCCCAUAAACCGUGGCUCAGUUCAGAUCGUAGGCUGCAACUCGCCUACGUGAAGGAGGAAUCGCUAGUAAUCGCAGGUCAGCAUACUGCGGUGAAUACGUUCCCGGGCCUUGUACACACCGCCCGUCACACCAUGGAAGUUGGCCACGCCCGAAGCCGUUACUCCAACCCUUGUGGAGGAGGACGUCGAAGGUGGGGCUGAUGACUGGGGUGAAGUCGUAACAAGGU